rnacentral:rRNA from 1 species
UACAGAGGGGGCAAGCGUUGUUCGGAAUUACUGGGCGUAAAGGGCGCGUAGGCGGCCUGCUAAGUCGAACGUGAAAUCCCUGGGCUCAACCCAGGAACUGCGUCCGAUACUGGUUGGCUUGAAUCCGGGAGAGGGAUGUGGAAUUCCAGGUGUAGCGGUGAAAUGCGUAGAUAUCUGGAGGAACACCGGUGGCGAAGGCGGCGUUCUGGACUGUCUCUGACACUGAAGAACGAAAGCCAGGGGAGCAAACGGG